AGGGAAUUUUGCGCAAUGGACGGAAGUCUGACACAGCAACGCCGCGUGAAGGAUGACGGCCUUCGGGUUGUAAACUUCUGUUGGAUGGGAAAAAAAGCCUAGGAAUAGGAAUUGAUGGUACCAUUCGAGUAAGCACCGGCUAACUACGUGCCAGCAGCCGCGGUAAUACGUAGGGUGCGAGCGUUGUUCGGAAUCACUGGGCGUAAAGGGAGCGUAGGCGGGAUCGUAAGUUAGGAGUUUAAUACAUGGGCUCAACCCGUGAUAUGCGUUUAAUACUGCGGUUCUUGAGUAUGGGAGAGGGUGGUGGAAUUCCAGGUGUAGCGGUGGAAUGCGUAGAUAUCUGGAAGAACACCAGUAGCGAAGGCGGUCACCUGGCCCAAUACUGACGCUGAGGCUCGAAAGCUGGGGGAGCAAAC
rnacentral:rRNA from 1 species